CGAGGCGUGGCCAAGUGGUAACUUGGUAAGGCAUCGGGUUUAGCUCCCAUUAUUUGGAGGUUCAAAUCCUUCCAUCUCAG
rnacentral:tRNA from 1 species